UUCCCUUAUUAGAAUCUGUUGCUUGUCAGCAGGCAUUUAGUAACCUAAUUGGAACACCCUCUCCUUCUAAAUCAACUAAAAAUUCUCAGCUUAUAUUUCAAUUCCAUUUCUAGGCAAGCCUCCGCUAGCCCCUGGUUUCCUCCUCUUCUAGGAAUACAUGAUUGUUUUCUUUCCGAAGCAUGAGGCCGACAUUAUAGCUUGCCCCUCGGGGAAGGAUAAUUUGCUCAUUGUGGAUUAGUUGCCUUCAGCAGAGUUACCAUCCAAGAUGUCCUCCAACGACCUCCGUCUCCUUGAAUACAUACAGUUGCAGAAGGAAGUCACAGUGGGAGAAGAGCUUCAUGGGUUGUUGCUGACUUUGAAGACAGAAGAAGAGGAACAAGAGGCAAAGAAUUUGGGUGGCUGUAGAAUCGGGGAGGGGUCACCCGCCAGUGAACAAGAAAUAGGGAACGUUAGUCCUGUGAGUGCAAGAAACCGAAUUUGCCAACAAAUUGCCAACUGUUGUCCCCUCCAGUCUUCAAAAAGGAAGACAUGAUUCCUGCUGACACCUUGAUCUUAGGGACCCAGGUGAGACUUCUGACCUACAGAGCUGUAAAGAUAAAUUUGUGUUGUCUUCGGCGACUGGAUCUGUGGCAAUUUAUUGUAACAGUAAUAAGAAACUGAUGCAGGUGUGUUUUGCAUGUGGAAGGGAUGUGAAUUAUGGAGUACUAGAUGGGAGACUGGUUGGUGACCAGCCUCCAAGAUGGUCCCCAGCGAUUGCUGCCUCCUGGUAUUCAUACCCUUGUGUAAGCCCCUUCCCAAGUGGACCAGAGAUCGUCUGUGUGGCCAACAAAGUGAUGAAUUGCAUCUUUAUGCACAAAGAUCCUCUACCCAGCCGGUUGCAGUAGAUUCCUCUUUAAAGACCCACUCAGACUCGACUUUCUCCCAGAACUCUUCUAUGAAGACCGUUUGCUGGGUCUUCGAGCUUGGAACUUCUAACUCCGAACUUCUGUAACUUACCUCUCCCUUGACAUCACUGCUGAUCAUCCUCUCUCCCGCCUUCCCCUCCAAGCCUCUUGUCCUGGGAUGCUCCU